rnacentral:rRNA from 1 species
AGGAGGCAGCAGUGGGGAAUCUUGGGCAAUGGGCGAAAGCCUGACCCAGCAACGCCGCAUGGGUGACGAAGGCCUUCGGGUCGUAAAGCCCUUUUCCACGGGAAGAUAAUGACGGUACCGUGGGAAUAAGCCCCGGCUAACUACGUGCCAGCAGCCGCGGUAAUACGUAGGGGGCAAGCGUUGUCCGGAUUUAUUGGGCGUAAAACGCUUGUAGGUGGCUACGCCAAGUCGGACGUGAAAUCUCCCGGCUUAACUGGGAGGGGUCGCUCGAUACUGGCGAGCUCGAGGCAGGUAGGGGGAAGCGGAAUUCCCGGUGUAGUGGUGGAAUGCGUAGAUAUCGGGAGGAACACCAGUGGCGAAGGCGGCUUCCUGGACCUGUUCUGACACUGAGGAGCGAAAGCGUGGGGAGCGAUCCGGAUUAGAUACCCGUGUAGUCGU